UGGGUGUGUAACUCAGCUGGAUAGAGUAGCGGCCUUCUAAGCCGUUUGUCGUAGGUUCGAGUCCUACCACACCCGU
rnacentral:tRNA from 2 species